rnacentral:rRNA from 1 species
AACGGGUGAGUAAUAUAUCGGAACGUACCCAGAAGUGGGGGAUAACGUAGCGAAAGUUACGCUAAUACCGCAUACGAUCUACGGAUGAAAGUGGGGGACCUUCGGGCCUCAUGCUUUUGGAGCGGCCGAUAUCUGAUUAGCUAGUUGGUGAGGUAAAGGCUCACCAAGGCGACGAUCAGUAGCUGGUCUGAGAGGACGACCAGCCACACUGGGACUGAGACACGGCCCAGACUCCUACGGGAGGCAGCAGUGGGGAAUUUUGGACAAUGGGCGCAAGCCUGAUCCAGCAAUGCCGCGUGAGUGAA